UCUCAUAUAUCUUCAACCCCCAACCCCUCGAAGCUCAUUGAAACCCUAACCCCAACGGAUCUAUCGCCUGAAAUCCCAUUGCAAGAAGUUUCGAACUGUCUGCAAUUUAAAUCUUCGACGGUCGGGCACACUAUCAUUUAGGUUAUCACAAAUUUCCCUCUCUCAUACAUCCUUUUUUUUUUAUUAUUAUUGAACGUUUAAUGGUUAUUGUUCAAACCGUGUUCUCGGUCCACUUGAUCCAAACCUCCUGCUUUUGUUAUGGUUCGUCGACAUUGAAGCAAUAUUUUUGAGCUUGCAGAUUUUCUAGGUGCUGUCAGUAAUACUUUUUUUUCCUUUCCUCUUUUUGGGGGCCUCCCCUGAAACAUCUGAGUAGUUUUUGUCAGGGUUUUGAUAAUUUUGUCGAACUGGAUUCUCCGGCUAAGCGCGAAUUCGUCGUCGCCGGGUCUUUGGUCUUAUUUACUUUUUAGGCUUUCUAUUUCCCUUUCUAGGGUUAGUUCUGAAUCCUUUUUUUGUGGCGUCUCCAAAUUUGAUGCCUGUUUCUUUCAUCAAAAUAAUAAUUUUUCCUUCUGUCGCUAUUUUAACGGAUACAUAUUAUCAACAUUCGAGAGAAAGUCCCGUCUUCAAGUUUGUAUAGGGAGAACUGCGUAGCAUUGUAGCUUCUUAACGCUGUAACUUCUGCCUCAAACUAAACAACUCUGCUAGGUUCGAAGGUUCAGUAUUUUGAGGUCGCUGAAGAGUUGAUUUUGGGGUCCAGAAAUCUUCACUGGUAAAUCCUAAACUGAGAGAAUUGUAAAGUUGAUAUUUUCUUUGAAUGUGUGGAUAGGUUUUAUUUGCAUUGCACAUUAGAGGACAUAAGUUUUAAAGAAGUAGCCUGUCUGUGCUUGCUUUCUCUCUAUCCCCCUCUCUAUCCAAAGGAGGGAGUUGUUUAAGAGAGCACCGAUUAGCCACGGGUUAGUUUUGCAUGGGCGAUCAUGAGGGCUGGUCACAGCCAAGUGGCCUAUUGCCCAAUGGCCUCUUGCCUACUGAAACAACCUCGGUAACUCGAGUUCUUGACCCCGAGAGAUGGUCCAAAGCCGAAGAAAGAACUGCAGAACUCAUUGCCUGCAUUCAGCCCAACCCACCCUCAGAAGAGCGAAGAAAAGCUGUUGCAGAAUAUGUACGACGACUUAUCAUGAAGUGCAUUUCCUGUCAGGUGUUUGCUUUUGGAUCUGUACCUCUAAAGACCUAUUUACCAGAUGGGGACAUUGACCUAACUGCUUUCAGUAGGAAUCCAAAUUUGAAGGAAACCUGGGCUAAUGAGGUUCGUGAUAUGCUUGAGAAUGAAGAGAAGAGUGAGAAUGCUGAGUUCCGUGUAAAAGAGGUUCAGUACAUUCAGGCAGAGGUGAAGAUAAUAAAAUGUCUUGUAGAAAACAUAGUUGUAGAUAUAUCCUUUAACCAGCUUGGUGGGUUAUGUACCCUUUGUUUCCUUGAGGAGGUUGACCAUUUGAUAAGUCAAAACCAUUUAUUCAAGCGCAGCAUUAUACUGAUUAAGGCGUGGUGCUACUACGAGAGCCGCAUACUGGGUGCUCAUCAUGGACUUAUUUCAACUUAUGCUCUUGAGACUUUGGUUCUAUACAUAUUUCAUGUCUACAAUAAUAAAUUUGCUGGGCCACUUGAGGUUUUAUAUCGUUUCCUGGAAUUCUUCAGUAAUUUUGAUUGGGAUAAUUUUUGUGUUAGCCUCUGGGGUCCUGUCCCUAUUAGUUCACUUCCGGAAAUGGCAGCGGAACCUCCUCGGAAGGAUGGAGGAGAGCUAUUACUCAGCAAAGUGUUCCUUGAUUCUUGUAGUACGGUAUAUGCUGUUUUUCCUGGUGGCCAAGAAAAUCAGAAUCAACCCUUUGUUUCCAAACAUUUCAAUGUUAUUGAUCCUUUGCGUACAAACAACAACCUCGGGCGCAGUGUUAGUAAAGGAAAUUUCUUUAGGAUACGUAGUGCCUUUGCAUUUGGGGCUAAAAGGCUUGCCAGGUUACUUGAUUGCCCAAAAGAGAACUUAAUUGCCGAAGUCAAUCAAUUCUUCAUGAAUACAUGGGAGAGACAUGGCAGUGGCCAUCGCCCUGAUGCUCCUAGUCCUGACCUGUGGAAUUUGCAACCAUUAAAACCAAAUAAUAUUGAUGGAUCUGAGACUGCAAGGUGCUCUUCAAGCAGCAAGAAGAAGGUAGAGAAUUCCUUUGGCAAUGAAUCUGAGAUUGAGGCAGCUCAUGUUUAUCAUGGUAUCUACUCUCAACAUAGUAACCCUCCCUCAGAAGGCUUGUCUAGGACUAGUAAUAUAUCUGCAAUAUCUUGCACUCAAAGCCAGAAGAGUUAUGGCAGCACAACUAGCUCAAGGGCCUCUGAUCAGAGUGCACGAAAUAUUAGCUCCAGUGACAGUGUACAUGCUGAGAAAGGUCAGAGAAGUAGUAGAACAGACUACUUGGUGAAUGAAGUACAGGGAAGGUAUCAUUUUGCAAGGACACGCUCUAGUCCAGAACUUACAGAUUCAUCUGGUGAAGUUUCAACUCGAGGAAGGCGUAAUAAAGUACCAGAGACAGGAAAAAAUCAGAUUAUUUCUGCAAGGCCAGAUUAUAGCUCUAGGAGGAAGAACUUGGUCUCUGAUGUUUCUGGCAAUCAAAAUACAAAACCUUCAAUUGAUGAUCCUUCAUCAAUGAGGCAUAGUUCAUCCCAUCAAAGCCUUGAUGCUGCUGUUGAUUCAAAUAGCGCUUCAAAUAGUUAUAAUGAUGAGGUUGGGCUGGGUGCAGUGAGAGAAGAGAUUACUUCUGUUGCUGAGGCAAUAGAGAGGCAUCAAGAAGAGCAAGACCUUGUGAACAUGAUGGCAUCUUCCGGGGUCCAUAGUUUUGAUAGGCAGGUUCAGAUACCAAUAAACUUAGCAGCUUCUGCUCACCUACCUCUUCCAAUAUCACCUUCUGUUCUUGCUACAAUGGGUUAUAGUACACAAAGGAAUCUGGCUGGGAUGGUUCCUACUAACUUUCCCUUUAUUGAGCCUCCUUGGGGCUCAAACAUGCAAUUUCCUCCUGGCCUAGUUUCUUCAUUACCCCAUUAUUUUCCUGGUGUUGGACUGACGUCAAAUGCUGAAGAAACUAGUGAAACAGGUAAUGAAAAUUUGGGUUUGACAGAAACAAACCAAGAGGAUGUUGAUCGCAGUUUUUGGCAUGAGCAGGAUGAAGGUUCCAUCAGAGGCUUUGAUUCUGAUAAUGGAAGUCUCCAAAUGCUACAGUCGGAUGAUAGGCAACAGUCAACUUCAGUAGGGUUUAACUUUCCUCCUUCUCGGGGGAGUAGCUCUUCUAGUUAUUUUAAACAGAAAUUUGUCAAAGAAAACAGAGCGAUAAGGGAGGAGCAUGGUGAUACUUUCCAGUACCAAAAUAACAGAGGAAAUGAGAUCUACUCUACAGAUAGAACUACAAGUUCAAGAUCCUCAUCUGUUUCACAGGCUAGUUCUUCAAGAGGUAAACUGUCAUCAGAAAGUUCCUGGGAUGGGUCUAUGAGAGCUUCUAAGUCAGCAAGGGACAAACGUGGAAGGAAAACGGUUCCAUCUGCAGUUCCUUCUACCUUGUAUGGGAAAGGUAAGAGCGGUUGGCAGCACGAGGGUCCUUCAUUUGAUCAUGUUUCUACUCAAGUAGAUGAUGACAACAGAGACUGGAUUCCUUUAUCAACCGUUGGCACUGAAAUGGCAGAACAAAGUGUGGGGCUAUCAUCUGUGGCUUCACCACAUGUUCGAAGCCAUCAUAUGCCUGGUUAUGAACCCUUACAAAUAAGGGCUAUGGACAAUUCUGGAAUGGUACCUAUUACCUUUUACCCCACAGGGCCACCUAUUCCGUUUGUAACAAUGCUUCCAGUGUUCAAUUUCUCAACUGAAAUGGGAAAUUCUGAAGCAUCUACAAGCCAUUUUGAUGGAGAAGAGAGUGUGGAUAAUAGCCAUAAUCAAUCUGAUCAGAACUUUGAUUCAGCUGAAAGUGUUGAGCAGCAGGAAAACUUCAGUGCUUCUAGUUCUAUCAAAGGCACUGCUUCUGUGGAAUCUUCUGAGGAGCACAAAUCUGACAUUCUUAAUAGUGAUUUUGCCAGUCAUUGGCAAAAUCUGCUAUAUGGACGGUCUUGCCAAAACCCUCGAUAUCAUGGACCUUUGAUAUAUCCACCACCUGUUAUGGUACCACCAAUGCAUUUACAGGGCCAUUUCCCAUGGGAUGGCCCUGGAAGACCUCUUUCCACCAAUAUGAACCUCUUCACUCAGCUUAUGAACUAUGGCCCCCGCUUUGUUCCUGUUGCUCUCCAGCCUGGUUCUAAUAGGCCUGCGGGUGUUUAUCAGCGUUAUGGUGAUGAAGUUCCUAGAUAUCGUGGUGGAACAGGGACCUAUCUGCCAAAUCCUAAGGUUUCUUUCCGGGAUCGGCAAACUUCAACCACCAGAAACCACAGAGGAAACUACAACUAUGAUCAGAAUGACCACUAUGGUGACAGAGAAGGAAAGUGGAAUAUAAACAUGAAACCACGAGCUACUGGUCGUAGCCAUGGCCGCAAUGAGAAGCCAAACUCAAAGCCAGACCGACUGGCAGCAAGUGAUAACCGAGCUGACAGGCCAUGGGAUUCAUACAGGCAUGAUUCGUUCCCUUACCAGUCCCAGAAUGGUCUAUUCAGUUCAUCAAACUCCAUGCACAGUGGCUCUGCAAAUGUUGCAUACAGCAUGUACCCACUUCCUCCCAUGAACCCCAAUGGCGUGUCACCAACUGGACCUGCUAUUCCAUCUGUUGUCAUGUUGUACUCCUAUGAUCAUACCUCCAAUUAUAGUUCACCUGCUGAGCAACUUGAGUUUGGCUCUCUUGGGCCAGUGCAUUUUUCAGGUACAAGUGAAGUAUCACAGCUCAGUGAAGGAGGUCCAGCUAGGACUGUGUAUGAGCAGCAGAGAUUUCAAGUCAGUUCUCCUGCACGCUCUUCGCCUGAUCAACCAUCGUCUCCUCAACUUCAAAGAUCGGCUGCUCAGAGGAUUUAUCAGUUGAAAGAUGAAGAUUUCCCACCUCUGAAGUUUCCAAACCAGGGAGGUAAUAAUGGUGAUAACAACUAUGAUGACAGACCUCAUUAUCAGACCUUCUUGUUCACACCUUCCUCCUCCUGAAAAGGGGAUCUGGGCCUGUUGCCCAAGGAGUUUCUGUACAUUUCUCUCAUAUUCCAGAACAAUCAUGAUAAACCCACUUGGAAGUGUGCACAGUGACUGCUUUUUUUAACGUCAUCAACUUUGAAAGGCAAUUCGUGGAAAGGUAUUAUAUUGUAAGAUGUAUACGAUAUAAAUACCAAGAAAUAUUAAAAGGAAAAACAGAGCCCAUCUCAAAGGAAGAUCAAAACUAUAUCCUGCUUUGUUCUCUCAUGGAUGCUGGUAACUCUUGAAUGUCAUUGCCUUGUUGGUAUAGCAGCAAGGCUGUGCAGUACUCGGUAUCUUAAAUGAAACAGGUUUCCUGGUGAUAAUGUUUCAUGUGUGGCAGGUUGUAAUUGUAUGGGAGUUUAGUCGUUCCGAACUCAAAGGAGCCAGCCAAUUUACGCGUCUACCUUAUAAUGACAGAUUGCAUUCAUCUCUGAUUCUCUGGGAAGGGGGAUAUGUUUCAUGUAAUGCGGCAUGGGUUAUCGUAUUUCUUUGUACAUUAUGAAGAUAUCUUAUGAAGCAGGUCAACCUUGAUUAAUGGCAAUGUGAAUUAACAGUGCAUGGAUGUAGUAAUUAAGAAAAUAGAUUCAAUUCGGAGUCGAUUUGGCUUGGA